rnacentral:rRNA from 1 species
GGAUUAGAUACCCUGGUAGUCCACGCCGUAAACGAUGAAAACUAGCCGUUAGAGGGUUUACCUUUAGUGGCGCAGCUAACGCGAUAAGUUUUCCGCCUGGGGAGUACGGCCGCAAGGUUAAAACUCAAAGGAAUUGACGGGGGCCCGCACAAGCGGUGGAGCAUGUGGUUUAAUUCGAUGCAACGCGAAAAACCUUACCUACCCUUGACAUCCUUGGGAGCUUUCAGAGAUGAAAGUGUGCCUUCGGGAACCAAGUGACAGGUGCUGCAUGGCUGUCGUCAGCUCGUGUUG